GGGGUGGUUUGUUAUGCAGCAAUAACUAACACUGGGUUUUAACUCGAGAACGCUCUAGGUUCCUUUCUGCUCCAAUAGCAUUAUGUAACUCAUGCUAAGCCUCUCCUAAAGCUGCUACCACAGGAGCAGUGAAAAAGCCCAAGUACCAAAUUAGCCAGAGAUUUCUUAUAAGUUGACAGCUUUCUCAAGCCACAAAAUGCUUCGGGUACAGGUUUCCCUUCAGGAAAGUCAGUUUCCCAGCAAGGUCAAAGCAAGUGCCCUGACCCAGACAAUGGAGCUUGCUGUGGAGCUGUGGGUCCUGGAGACCCAGGCUUCAGCCCUGACUUCGACACUUUCCUCAGUGCCCACCUUUCAUCUGGAUGAUGCAGAGAAAGUCAACUAAAGCAGAUGCUGGCUGAGUCACAGCGUGAUGAAGCAUUGCUAACCCAAGACGUGAAUCGAGAGCACGUGGGGGAUACUGCUUUUAUGCUGAACUAGGAAGACAGCAGCCGCCAUCAAAGCCAGAAUCGAACAUAAAAUUUAACAAUCAAACACGACAAAAACAGUUUAAAAAUGGAUUUGUACUUUGUUUAUCAUCUGUUCCCCCAUGUUAGAAUGUUAGCUCUAUGAGAACAGAGCUUUCACUUCUGCUUCCUCUCCACUGUGUCUUCAGGACAACAAACACUGCC
rnacentral:lncRNA from 1 species